UACGUAGGUGGCAAGCGUUGUCCGGAAUUAUUGGGCGUAAAGAGCUCGUAGGCGGUUUGUUGCGUCGGCUGUGAAAUCCCGAGGCUCAACCUCGGGUCUGCAGUCGAUACGAGCAAACUAGAGUGUUGCAGGGGAGACUGGAAUUCCGGGUGUAGCGGUGAAAUGCGUAGAUAUCCGGAGGAACACCGGUGGCGAAGGCGGCUUCCUGGACCGACACUGACGCUGAGGCGCGAAAGCUAGGGGAGCAAACGGG
rnacentral:rRNA from 1 species